AGCCCCCUAUCCCACCUCUCCCUGAGCUUAUAAAUGCAGCCCCAGCGGAAUCCCAGUUAUUGCAUUUGGCCAUCAGGGCUGCACCAUCCUCUCCAGAGUGCCGUGGGUGGUCCUGCCAUUGGCCAUGCCUCCCUCCUCUCUGCCUGGUGGUUUCAAGCUCUCCCCUGGCUUUGGUUCAGUGGACUGGCUCUCCCAGAGCAGCUACUCUGUGCCCACUGUCACCUCCAGGCCUGCUGAAGUCUCUUGGGCCAGACUUCCUGGCCCAGGCCAGGCAUCUAGCAUCCAGGAAAAUCAUUUUUCAGACCAGCCUCUACCAGAGCCGGUUGCUGGGACAAGGGACAAGCUGGGGCCACCUCGCCUUGCUUUGCCAAGCCCUUAGUGCCUGCCUCACCUGAUGGACCUCCUCCACAGCCUCCCCUGAACACAAGAGUGUGCAAAGAGCAGAGGGCGGGAAGCCUCUGGGUCAGGGAGAGCCCUGGGGCUGGACUGCUCUGGGGACAGGCCUGGUGUGUCCUCGCGCCUCUGGGAGGAAUGUGGCAGAGACUGCUGACAAGAGGCACUGAACCUAAGUGAGAGCCCUUGCCUGCACUGCACCUGCUUGGAGGGUCUGUCCAGGAGGGUGGCCACAUGUGCAGAGUGCUCAGGACACAGAGAGAGGCUCCCCACCCCCAGUCCGGGGUGUCCGGUGCCUGACCCACCCCAGGUGCCCUAAUGAGAGAAGUGUGGCCCUGUGUGGCAGUCUCCUGUGGGACACAGUGAAAGGUGGCAACAGUGACCCACGGUGUAGCCACAAGAACGGGUCCCCUACCUGGGCCCCUCCCACCCCUGGGUAGCGCAGGCCCCCCACUGAACUGCCGACGAGGGGACCACAGUGCUACCGCCUGCUUUGUCACCCAGCCACUCGGGCAGCCUGGGAGGCCAGGGUGGCUGCUGGUCUGCGCCUGGUGCAGAGCUCACACCCGCUCCCCCGCACUCGCACAGCCUUCACCUCGGAGCAGCCCAGUGCCCUGGAGGGCACCUUCCAGCACCACCAGUACCUGGGCCCACUGGGACAGAGGAGGCUAGCCCAGGAGGUGCGGCUGUCAGAGGCCCAGGUAAGUAAGGUGGAGGCCCAAGAGGGGUCCCUGGGCAGGGGCCUGUUGUCAUCCAGCUCUGAGCUUACACAUGGUUUCAGAAUCGCCGAAUGAAGCACAAACGCCAGGCUCAGGACUCUCUGCUGAAUGUCCCCUUGCCCGGGCCUCCCCCGAGAGCCCUGGUCUGGGGUCUGCAGCUGCAGUGCCCAUGGACAGCCUGGCCUGAGCCCCGGGCGCUGGUGCUGCCCCUGGCUGCUUCUGGGGUCUCUGCACCGUGGAACAAGCUCCCCUGACUUCUGUGGGCCGUAUGCCCAGGUCAGCCUCUGACGUCCCUCGCUGGCUUUGGGAGCCACCUGCACACCUGGAACCAGCCGUGUCUGCAGCACUCUGGUGCCCACACAAGCUGCUGGAGCCCAGGGACACCUUUUGAGGAAGCAUGAGGCUCAGGCCCUCACGGCAGCGUGUGCCCAUCUGGCAGCUGCUCACCGUUGAUGUUCACCACACGGUGGCCCCAACCCGUAACUGGCCUUGGACACAGUCCUGUCCACAGGUGGGGCUUCAACCCUGGCCACACAAGAUCCUGAGAACUUAGAGCUGAAGGAGUUUUGUGUUCUGUGUUUUCUUUGUGGGGUGGGAGUCUCACUAGGCUGCCCAGGAUGAUCCUGAACCCCUGGACUCAUGGGAUCCUCCCCACUGG